AACGUAGGAGACAAACGUUAUCCGGAGUUACUGGGCCUAAAGGGCGUGUAGGUGGUUUCGUAAGUCUGGCGUGAAAUUUCUCGGCUUAACCGAGGCAGGUCGUCGGAUACUGCGGAACUUGAGGACGGUAGAGGCGUGUGGAAUUCCGGGUGUAGUGGUGAAAUGCGUAGAGAUCCGGAGGAACACCAGUGGCGAAGGCGACACGCUGGGCCGUACCUGACACUGAUGCGCGACAGCAUGGGGAGCAAACAGG
rnacentral:rRNA from 1 species